rnacentral:rRNA from 1 species
UGGUCCUACGGGGGGCAGCAGUGAGGAAUAUUGGUCAAUGGGAGAGAUCCUGACCCAGCAACGCCGCGUGAAGGAAGAAGGCUUUCGGGUUGUAAACUUCUUUUGUCAGGGAAGAGUAGAAGACGGUACCUGACGAAUAAGCCACGGCUAACUACGUGCCAGCAGCCGCGGUAAUACGUAGGUGGCAAGCGUUGUCCGGAUUUACUGGGUGUAAAGGGCGUGUAGCCGGGUUGACAAGUCAGAUGUGAAAUCCUGCGGCUUAACCGCAGAACUGCAUUUGAAACUGUUGAUCUUGAGUACUGGAG